rnacentral:rRNA from 1 species
UACGUAGGGUGCGAGCGUUGUCCGGAAUUAUUGGGCGUAAAGGGCUCGUAGGCGGUUUGUCGCGUCGGGAGUGAAAACUCAGGGCUUAACCCUGAGCCUGCUUCCGAUACGGGCAGACUAGAGGUAUGCAGGGGAGAACGGAAUUCCUGGUGUAGCGGUGAAAUGCGCAGAUAUCAGGAGGAACACCGGUGGCGAAGGCGGUUCUCUGGGCAAUAACUGACGCUGAGGAGCGAAAGCGUGGGGAGCGAACAGG